rnacentral:rRNA from 1 species
UGGGGAAUAUUGCACAAUGGGCGCAAGCCUGAUGCAGCCAUGCCGCGUGUAUGAAGAAGGCCUUCGGGUUGUAAAGUACUUUCAGCGGGGAGGAAGGGAGUAAAGUUAAUACCUUUGCUCAUUGACGUUACCCGCAGAAGAAGCACCGGCUAACUCCGUGCCAGCAGCCGCGGUAAUACGGAGGGUGCAAGCGUUAAUCGGAAUUACUGGGCGUAAAGCGCACGCAGGCGGUUUGUUAAGUCAGAUGUGAAAUCCUCGGGCUCAACCUGGGAACUGCAUCUGAUACUGGCAAGCUGGAGUCUCGUAGAGGGGGGUAGAAUUCCAGGUGUAGCGGUGAAGUGCGUAGAGAUCUGGAGGAAUACCGGUGGCGAAGGCGGCCCCCUGGACGAAGACUGACGCUCAGGUGCGAAAGCGUGGGGAGCAAACAGG